GGGUAAGUCUCAUACGACCAGCUCCCACUGAACUCCCCCAGGUACGGAAGUAAGCAAGGGUAGGUGGUUGUAGCGGUGCGAUGUGAGUAGCUUACCCUUU
rnacentral:SRP_RNA from 1 species